rnacentral:rRNA from 1 species
AGGAUAAACGCUGGCGGCGUGCCUAACACAUGCAAGUCGAACGUCUCUUCUUUCGGGAAGAGGAGUGGCGGACGGGUGAGGAACACGUGGGAACCUGCCCUCCAGUGAGGAAUACCGGCGAGAAAUCGCCGACAAGACCGCAUAGCCCUCUCUGGUGAGAGCCAGAGAAGGAAAGCUUCGCAAGAGGCGCUGGAGGAGGGGCCUGCGUCCGAUUAGCUAGUUGGUGGGGUAAAGGCCUACCAAGGCGACGAUCCAUAGCUGGUCUGAGAGGAUGAUCAGCCACACUGGGACUGAGACACGGCCCAGACUCCUACGGGAGGCAGCAGUGGGGAAUAUUGGACAAUGGGCGAAAGCCUGAUCCAGCAAUGCCGCGUGAGUGAAGAAGGCCUUAGGGUUGUAAAGCUCUUUUACCCGGGAAGAUAAUGACUGUACCGGGAGAAUAAGCCCCGGCUAACUCCGCGCCAGCAGCCGCGGU